GCGGAUAUGGCGGAAUUGGCAGACGCGCAGGACUUAGAAUCCUGUGGAUACCCGUGCAGGUUCAACUCCUGUUAUCCGCACCA
rnacentral:tRNA from 1 species